rnacentral:rRNA from 1 species
GAUGAACGCUGGCGGCGUGCCUAAUACAUGCAAGUCGAGCGAACGGACGAGAAGCUUGCUUCUCUGAUGUUAGCGGCGGACGGGUGAGUAACACGUGGAUAACCUACCUAUAAGACUGGGAUAACUUCGGGAAACCGGAGCUAAUACCGGAUAAUAUUUUGAACCGCAUGGUUCAAAAGUGAAAGACGGUCUUGCUGUCACUUAUAGAUGGAUCCGCGCUGCAUUAGCUAGUUGGUAAGGUAACGGCUUACCAAGGCAACGAUGCAUAGCCGACCUGAGAGGGUGAUCGGCCACACUGGAAGUGAGACACGGUACAGACUCCUACGGGAGGCAGCAGUAGGGAAUCUUACGCAAUGGGCGAAAGCCUGACGGAGCAACGCCGCGUGAGUGAUGAAGGUCUUCGGAUCGUAAAACUCUGUUAUUAGGGAAGAACAUAUGUGUAAGUAACUGUGCACAUCUUGACGGUACCUAAUCAGAAAGCCACGGCUAACUACGUG